GGGCUCCUGAGGAAUGGGGAAGGGAAAGACCACGUUGACCACUCAGUAUGGUCUCAAGCACAGUACAUCUGCACCCUCUCAACGUUGGGAGUGGGAUCGUCCGGCUCAGGCUGGGGGUUCCGCCUUCUGCCCCUCCCAACUCUGGAACUCUGUCACCCAGGGACACCCAAAUGCGGCCGUUACCUGAGAGCCGCCGGCAAAAAGAACGAUUGGGAAGCUGAGGGAGAUUUGACUGCAGAAGAGAAGGAAUGUGAUGACAGGAUCAGCUUUGAAGACGGAGAAAGGACCCAUAAUCCGGCGGCCACUAUAAGCUGAAAAAGGUAAGGAUACCAUCAACAAAACGAAAAGACAACCUACAGAAUGGGAGAAAAUAUUUGCAAAUGAUCGACCUACAAGGGACUAAUUUUCAAAAUAUACAAGCAGCUCAUACACCUUAACAUCAAAAAAACAAGCAACCCAAUCCAAAAAUGGUCAGAAGACCUAAAUAGAUAUCUCUCCAAAGAAGACAGACGGAUGGCCAACAAGCACAUGAAAAGAUGCUCAACAUCACUAAUUGUUAGAGAAAUGCAAAUCAAAGCUACAAUGAGAUAUCACCUCACACCAGCCAGAAUGGCCGUCAUUAAAAAGUCUACAAACGAUAAAUGCUAGAUAGGGUGUGGAUAAAAAGGAACCCUCCUACCCUGUUGGUGGGAAUGUAAAUUGGUGCAGCCACUAUGGAGGACAGUAUGGAGGUCACUUAAAAAACUAAAAAUAGACCUAUCAUAUGAUCCAGCAAUUCCACUCCUGGACAUGUACCCAGAGAAAAAUAUAAUUUAAAAAGACACAUGCACCCCAGUGUUCAUAGCAGCAUUAGUUACAACAGCCAAGACCUGGAAACAACCCAAAUGUCCAUCAACAGAUGACUGGAUAAAGAAGAUGUAGUAUAUAUAUAUACCAAGGAAUACUACUCAGCUAUAAAUAGAAUAAAAUAAUGCCAUUUGCAGCAACAUGGAUGGACCUGGAGAUCGUCAUUCUAAGUGAAGUAAGCCAGAAAAAGAAAGAAAAAUGCCGUACAAUAUCACUUAUAUUUAGAAUCUUAAAAAAAAGGACACAAAUGAACUACUUGUUUAUAACUUAGAUGAUUAAUUUCUUGAAUAUGUGUAAGCACAUUUGACUGUUCUUUAUGAUUGGGUUACUGCAUUCUGUUGAUUCUUAUUUUGUAGUUGUCUUUAUUUCUUUGAUAACUGUGUAAGUUUAAAAGGCAAAGCUCUAAAAAAUUAAUAAAAUAAAAUACAUAGGAUAGCAAAGGAAACAAAUUAUAUCAAAACAGUUGUCUAAACACUAGAAGAAUGUGUGAUAGAGUAGUAUAUUUGCUUCUUUAGCCCAAGCGUCGAUCUAAUAAACUCUUGUGAUUUCACUGUAUUGAUGUGCAUGUAUGACAUUCUGAGACAUCUUUAACAACUAUCAGGAGAUUUGAAAAUAACUGCAAUUUCUGUCAAUGGCAAAUUCUAUGGUGGUUUAUUGCCUACAUUCAUAAUUGAAGCAAAUGCUAACUUUCAACUGGAGACUGGUGAAAAUAAAGAUGUCAUGCCCCCCCCAAAACCCUCAAAAACCAAAAAACAAAUAUUUCUGUAUCCUUAUGAUUUGCUAGGUCUGGCAUAAACACUAUAUGGCUAGAUUUGUUCAUUUUCAUCCAAAAUGACAAUCUCUGACUUUAACUGGAGAGUAUAUCCCAUUAACAAUUUUUAUUACUGAUUAUGUAAUAAAUACAUGAAUUUCAAAUGUGAAUGUAUUCCUACCUUCUUACAUUUUGCUUUCUAUUUUUCCUGCCAUUUCCUAAAUCUUUUUCUACUUU